rnacentral:rRNA from 1 species
UACGGAGGUUGCAAGCGUUGUUCGGAUUUACUGGGCGUAAAGGGAGCGCAGGCGGUUAGGUCAGUCUGAAGUGGAAGCCCGGGGCUCAACCCUGGAAGGCCUUUGGAUACUGCCUAACUUGAGUUCGUGAGAGGAAAGCGGAAUUCCAGGUGUAGCGGUGAAAUGCGUAGAUAUCUGGAGGAACAUCGAUGGCGAAAGCAGCUUUCUGGCACGAUACUGACGCUGAGGAUCGAAAGCGUGGGGAGCGAACAGG